rnacentral:rRNA from 1 species
AGUGAACGCUGGCGGUAGGCCUAACACAUGCAAGUCGAACGGCAGCACAGGAGAGCUUGCUCUCUGGGUGGCGAGUGGCGGACGGGUGAGGAAUACAUCGGAAUCUACUCUGUCGUGGGGGAUAACGUAGGGAAACUUACGCUAAUACCGCAUACGACCUACGGGUGAAAGCAGGGGAUCUUCGGACCUUGCGCGAUCGAAUGAGCCGAUGUCGGAUUAGCUAGUUGGCGGGGUAAAGGCCCACCAAGGCGACGAUCCGUAGCUGGUCUGAGAGUAUGAUCAGCCACACUGGAACUGAGACACGGUCCAGACUCCUACGGGAGGCAGCAGUGGGGAAUAUUGGACAAUGGGCGCAAGCCUGAUCCAGCCAUACCGCGUGGGUGAAGAAGGCCUUCGGGUUGUAAAGCCCUUUUGUUGGGAAAGAAAUCCAGCUGGCUAAUACCCGGUUGGGAUGACGGUACCCAAAGAAUAAGCACCGGCUAACUUCGUGCCAGCCGCCGCGGUAA